rnacentral:tRNA from 1 species
GCUGAUGUGGCUCAGGGGUAGAGCAGCGCACUCGUAAUGCGCAGGUCGAGGGUUCGAAUCCCUCCAUCAGC